rnacentral:rRNA from 1 species
AUUGAACGCUGGCGGCAUGCUUUACACAUGCAAGUCGAACGGCAGCGCGGGCUUCGGCCUGGCGGCGAGUGGCGAACGGGUGAGUAAUGCAUCGGAACGUGCCCAGUAGUGGGGGAUAGCCCGGCGAAAGCCGGAUUAAUACCGCAUACGACCUGAGGGUGAAAGCGGGGGACCGAAAGGCCUCGCGCUAUUGGAGCGGCCGAUGUCGGAUUAGCUAGUUGGUGGGGUAAAGGCUUACCAAGGCGACGAUCCGUAGCUGGUCUGAGAGGACGACCAGCCACAAUGGGACUUGGGCAAGGGCCAGACUCCUUCGGGAGGGCACAGUGGGGAAAUUUGGGAAAAGGGGGCAACCCUGAUCCAGCCAUGCCGCGUGCGGGAAGAAGGCCUUCGGGUUGUAAACCGCUUUUGUUCGGGAAGAAAUCCUCUGGGCUAAUACCCCGGGGGGAUGACGGUACCGGAAGAAUAAGCACCGGCUAACUACGUG